rnacentral:rRNA from 1 species
UACGGGGGGUGCGAGCGUUGUCCGGAAUUAUUGGGCGUAAAGGGCGCGUAGGCGGUGCCACAAGUCACUUGUGAAAUCCCCGGGCUUAACUCGGGGCCUGCAGGCGAAACUGUGGUGCUGGAGUAUGGGAGAGGUGCAUGGAAUUCCCGGUGUAGCGGUGAAAUGCGCAGAUAUCGGGAAGAACACCCGUGGCGAAGGCGGUUCUCUGGGACGGUACUGACGCUGAGACGCGAAAGCGUGGGGAGCGAACAGG